ensembl:lincRNA
AUGUGGCCUCCACAGCUGGCACGCUUGGGCAGUGUCUGCACUAAACAGCUGUGCCUGGCAGCAAUCUGUCCCUGUCUCCUUCACGGGCCACGUCCAUCAGCAGCUGCCACAACUGUGGCCUUCAGGACACUUCUUGUUUCUCCUCCGAGCCCCAGCCUGGCUCAGGCCUCUCUCUGCCUCCUCCACCCUGAGCCCAAGCGCCCAGGACUUUCCUCAGGGCCAGCUCCGCCCAUUCUCUCCCCGGUCCCAGCUGGGGGUCCCUUCUCCCUGGGAUGGACCAGGCUCCUGCGGGGCCUACAGCAUCUUCAAUGCCACGCAUGCCGGAUCACUCGCCCUGUCCACCGGAAACCAGAACUGGGGAUCGAACCCAGAGCCUGCACACCGAACUACAUCCCAGUCCAGAGUGCCGCGAUGCAGGCUUGUGCCACCACAAUGGCUCCAGCCCCGCCCACUACCGGGCUCCGCCCACUGACCGCUCUUCGCAGCCGCGCGCCCAUCUGGUUCCCUCGCAGGUGGCUCCUCAGAUGCUCCACGCCCCGAGCCAGAAGCGUCUGCACGGUGCCCAGCGUGCCCUCUACGGUGCUCAGCAGCGUCCGCGCGAGCUGGGGAAGCUGCAGGUCCACGCUCUGUUGCAGGCAGGCCUCCAGCCAGGCCUGGACGUCAGCUGCAGGUAGAGAUAACCUGCUGAGUCCCCACUCAGCGAGAGGCGGAGGGCGAGCCCAGCACCCCUGACCCCCACUGCACAGGUGAGAAACAGCUCACCUGGGACAAUCGGCCAGACAGGCCAGGAUGCAGGGUCAGAUUCGAACCGCGUUUGAUUGUGGGCUGGAGUGGCGCCGUUAAGUCCGGCCUGACCUCCGCCCGGCUCGCACCACUAUCUUUUCCCUCCCUGAGCCACCCUCCUCGGCCCAGCUCCCUCGGUCCACCCUACCUGCAUCGCCCUGGGAGCCGCCAGGCCACGCCCACUCACUCUCUAGGCCCCACCCUUCGCCUCUCUACCUGCAUCGCCCUGGGAGCCGCCAGGCCACGCCCACUCACUCUCUAGGCCCCACCCUUCGCCUCCUACACUGCCCACUCAAGCGUAUUGGAGCCCAGGCCCCGCCUACUACCACCCUGGCUUCUUUCCAAUCCCCUGGCCCCGCCCCCGCCAAACCACGCCUCCCCCACUCUGACCCAACCACUCCGGGUAGAGACCACGCCCACCAUCCCGAGCACGCCCUCUUAGAUGGCCGAGCCCUGUCAAGUGGGGCCACACCGCCUAUCACGACACCCGGCCCUUCCACCAGGAUCCGCCCCAUGCACCAUUUAGGGCUCCCCUGUGGCCCCACACGUUUUAACCUCCAGGGACCCUUCCAUAAUACUGACCUGUAGCCUCAAGGCCCCGCCCCCUACGUCAUCUGGCUUCCUUCCAAAUUUUUAGCUGCGCUCACGUCCUACCCGACACGCCCCCCAUCGAUACUUAUAGCCGACCCCACCCACCCAAGUCCUCCGCCCCCAGUAUUGGCCACGCUCCACCCAAACAUGCACAUUCCAGACCGGGCCGCACCCCUCUACCUGGUCCCACCCUCAGCCCCACCUGGCCACGCCCAACCCUGGACCCUCCCCUUUCCUACCUCACACCUCUCCUUUACCUUGGUUCCAGGCUCCCAGCC